rnacentral:rRNA from 1 species
UACGAAGGGGGCUAGCGUUGUUCGGAAUCACUGGGCGUAAAGGGCGCGUAGGCGGCGGGGUAAGUCUGGUGUGAAAUCUCGGAGCUCAACUCCGAAAUUGCACUGGAUACUGCUCUGCUUGAGGGUUGGAGAGGAGAUCGGAAUUCACGGUGUAGCAGUGAAAUGCGUAGAUAUCGUGAGGAAGACCAGUGGCGAAGGCGGAUCUCUGGACAAAUCCUGACGCUGAGGCGCGAAGGCUAGGGGAGCAAACGGG